UGCUCGUGUGCGCUCUGCUCCUGUACACGCUGCACCUCCAUGUGCCUUCACGUCAUUUCCAAUCUCAGGGACCUGAUCUAAAUGUCAGCUUUUUCUUUUUGUUCAGGACUGCAGUCAUGUCCGGGAUUGUAGCCCAUGGAUAGAAGUGGGCCCUGCCAUGUGCACCAUUACUAAAGGAGGAAAAGCACGUUGGUCCCAUCCAGCAAAGCACCUCCACAGGACAAUAAUGUUUGGGUCUGCAACAAAUGUCUUGCCCCAGCACAGAGCCAGCUAUUGCAGGAUGGUGACUAAACCCUGCCUACAAGAUUCAGCACAGCCCAGAGCCUGAAAGAAAGUGCUUCUGGGAUAUCCUGAUCAGAGACAAGAUCCUGGAUAAGGACGUCAGUCCUCUCUUUUGGUUCAAGAACUCAUUGCAGCGUGAUUUAAACUUUGUUUCUCCACACAUAUCAAAGUACAACAGGUCCUUAAUUUCUUUCCCAAAAGAACUAUGUUAGGAUGUCCGAUCUGAUUUCUUAAUGAUAUCCGCAAGAUACACCUUCCCAUUCCAAAAAUGGCAUAAAUGAAGAACUGUAAAAAACUCCGUUGAAAACUGUUUUCAGUAUCCAUGUAACUCUACUUCUAAAUUCAUCAACUUCAUUGAGGAAAGACUGACAAUACUGUGUGCUGGUUUUGAGGGGGAGCAAAAGAGUGAGGGAGAGCUGUCCUUUGAUAUUGGUUCAUAUUCAGGGAACAGCCUGGGUUAAUAAUUUAAAGGUAGGAAGUUAAUUUAUGCAUCCCUGAAAUCCUCCUUUUGUGCAGUUUUAGAAAAUGCAUACAUAUGACAGGAUAUCUCAUUGUUCUCAGGAUGUGUUAUCAUGUAUAUGUGGAGUAGCUUUAGUGAGAUAUGAAAUGCAAAUUUGCCUCACUUUGUUCUUGCCACUUUUAUGAAUAUUAAAAAUAUGGAUAAAAUAAUUGUGAACACUUUUUGGAAAAGGUCUUUAGCUCCUAAUUUCAGUGCUAUAAAGUUUUUAUAUUGGUGCAGUAGAAAAAAAAUUGAAAAUUUUACCAGCUUCUAUUGCCACGAAUGUAAGAAAUUUAAUUGAAAAUUUGCAUUUUGAGUAGAGUUUUAUGAUGGCAUGAAACCCUAAUGCCAAUAAAUAGAAAAACAGCCUCUCA
rnacentral:lncRNA from 1 species